CUUUUUAUAUCUGUUUAAUCCAUUAGAUAUUUUAUCUUUUUCCCAUUGGUUUUUUUUUAGUAAAUUAGUUUAAAUAAUGAUUUACUUGGGUAAAAAAAUUAUUGUUUAUGCUGGCCAAAGGACGUGUGCAAUGACUAUCCUCAAUAAUUUCCGAAUUUAGGCACUGGUAGAUCAAUCAACAUCCACCAACUCUUCCUCUCACUCCCGUUGUUACUCUACUUAUUUUCAUGCAUAAACAAGAAUCGAAAUCAAGAAUUGGGAGGUAAAAUAUGGUGCAAUUUUCAGAGAAAAUGAGGGGAUUUCUGAACGAUCGAUGGCUAGUUUUUGUGGCUUCGAUGUGGGUUCAGUCUUGUUCUGGAAUUGGGUAUUUGUUUGGAAGCAUAUCACCAGUGAUCAAGAGUGGUAUGGGUUAUAACCAGAGGCAAAUUGCGUUAUUGGGUGUAGCUAAGGACUUGGGUGAUGCCAUUGGCUUCCUUGCUGGUAUCUUGUGUGAAAUUUUACCUAUUUGGGCUGUUCUCUUCAUUGGGGUUGUUCAGAAUUUUGUUGGUUAUGGUAUUGUUUGGCUGAUUGUUGCUCACAAAUUGCCUUCUUUGCCUCUUUGGGUGCUUUGCGUUUUAAUAUUUAUUGGGACUAAUGGUGAGACAUACUUCAAUACAGGAGCCUUAGUUUCCUGUGUGCAGAAUUUUCCUAAAAGCCGUGGUCCAAUAGUGGGGAUACUUAAAGGAUUUGCUGGGCUAAGUGGUGCAAUUUUGACACAAGUUUAUGCUAUGUUCAACAUUCCUGAUCAAGCAUCCCUUGUUUUCAUGGUUGCUGUUGGGCCAUCUAUUGUAAUUACCGCUGUGAUGUUCUUGGUUAGACCUGUAGGUGGUCACCAACAAGUUAGACCUUCAGAUCAUUCGAGCUUCCUAUUCACCUACAGCAUUUGCAUUAUCCUGGCAGCUUAUCUGUUGGCAGUUUUGCUUCUUCAGGAUUUAAGCAGUCUAAAUGAGAAUGUGGUAACCUUAUUGACGAUUUUCUUACUUAUUUUAAUAGUGCUUCCCGUUAUUAUUCCUAUUUUUUUGGUUUUCUUCUCUGGACCAAAAGAGGAGAGCCUUCUUGCUGAGCCAGAGAAACAAGAAUCCUCUAGAAUGGGGAGUUUCAUUCUCAGCCUCAGUGAGGUAGAAGAUGAGAGGUCUUCUGAGGUAGACACACUCCCACCAUCGGAAAGACAAAAGAGAAUUGCGCACUUGCAAGCUAAACUAUACCAAGCAGCAGCAGAGGGAGCAGUCAGAGUGAAGCGGAGAAAAGGUCCACGCAGAGGAGAGGAUUUCACUUUACUUCAGGCUCUAGUAAAGGCAGACUUUUGGCUUAUUUUUUUCUCCCUAGUUCUAGCAUCUGGUUCUGGUUUGACGGUGAUUGAUAAUCUGGGUCAGAUGUCUCAGUCGUUAGGUUAUGCUAACACCCACAUAUUUGUUUCCAUGAUUAGCAUUUGGAACUUUCUUGGUCGUGUUGCUGGUGGAUACUUCUCUGAGAAUAUUGUAAAAUACUAUGCAUACCCAAGACCAGUGGCAAUGGCUGCAGUUCAAGUUGUUAUGGCAUUUGCUCUAUUCUUCUAUUCUAUGGGGUGGCCUGGUUCAAUAUAUGUGGUCUCUGUGUUCAUAGGACUUUGCUAUGGAGCACACUGGGCUAUUGUACCAGCUGCAGUCUCAGAACUUUUUGGAUUGAAAAGCUUUGGUGCACUGUAUAAACUUCCUUACAUUGGCUAGUCCAGCUGGUUCACUGAUCUUUUCUGGUGUUAUUGCUAGUGGUAUAUAUGACUAUCAGGCAAAGCAGCAACAUGAACAUCGGGUUCAAGCUUCAGGACUGGGUCUGGGAGUGCCUCUCGUCAAGGAUGACUUUCUUACUUGUUAUGGUUCCAUAUGCUAUUCACUCACAAUGGGCAUCAUGUCAGGGCUCUGCAUCAUUGCAUUUAUCUUGAGUAUGAUUGUCGUGCAUCGAACAAAGAGGGUUUAUGCACAAAUCUAUGGCAAGCCUCAAGCUUGAAGGAUAUUCGACUUAACACACUUUGCAGUCUAGCAUUCAAAUGUAUUCUCAUUCCUUGGCAGAUUACUCGAGUGAUUUUGAGGAAAGAGAAGCAUCACAGAUUUAAUCUGCACGUACGCCUCGGAAACUGAAGCCUUUCUCAUGUCUCUUCGUUUAUAAACUAUUGUAGAGUGUUCUCGACAAACACAAUUUUUUGAUUGCCAGUGAAACAUAUUAUUCUGUCAUGUAAUACAGUCUAUGAAGACUUUGAAACAUAAGUGUGUUCAUAAUAUGGGAGGUUGUUUUUGUGUAGCUGGAGAUACCAGCCAUUUGUAACUCUUGAUCAUGUUUCAUGAUCACUAUUUGUGGUACAUUGUUAAUUUUUUGUAGAAAUGGAAAAAUGUGUUUGUUCUUUUAUCUUA